rfam:Bacillus sp. FJAT-18017 genome.
UGGGCGGUAUCCAAAAGAACUGCACCUUAAAAGAGCAAUUCCUAACUAAACAUGGUUUCUGCCUAGAUCCGUAAUGGACCGGGACAGAGGG